rnacentral:rRNA from 1 species
UACGUAGGGUGCAAGCGUUGUCCGGAAUUAUUGGGCGUAAAGAGCGUGUAGGCGGCCAGGUAGGUCUGCUGUGAAAACUCGAGGCUCAACCUCGAGACGUCGGCGGAAACCAUCUGGCUAGAGUCCGGAAGAGGAGAGUGGAAUUCCUGGUGUAGCGGUGAAAUGUGCAGAUAUCAGGAAGAACACCCGUGGCGAAGGCGGCUCUCUGGGACGGUACUGACGCUGAGACGCGAAAGCGUGGGGAGCGAACAGG